GACAGAGGGGGCAAGCGUUGCUCGGAUUCACUGGGCGUAAAGGGUGCGCAGGCGGCCAAGUGUGUGAGGCGUGAAAGCCCGGGGCUUAACCCCGGAAUUGCACCUCAAACUACAUGGCUAGAGCAUUGGAGAGGGUAGCAGAAUUCAUGGUGUAGCAGUGAAAUGCGUAGAUAUCAUGAGGAAUACCAGAGGCGAAGGCGGCUACCUGGACAAUUGCUGACGCUCAGGCACGAAAGCGUGGGGAGCAAAAGGG
rnacentral:rRNA from 1 species